GACGAACGCUGGCGGCGUGCUUAACACAUGCAAGUCGAACGAAGAGCGACGGAAGCUUGCUUCUAUCAAUCUUAGUGGCGAACGGGUGAGUAACGCGUAAUCAACCUGCCCUUCAGAGGGGGACAACAGUUGGAAACGACUGCUAAUACCGCAUACGAUCUAACCUCGGCAUCGAGGAUAGAUGAAAGGUGGCCUCUACAUGUAAGCUAUCACUGAAGGAGGGGAUUGCGUCUGAUUAGCUAGUUGGAGGGGUAACGGCCCACCAAGGCGAUGAUCAGUAGCCGGUCUGAGAGGAUGAACGGCCACAUUGGGACUGAGACACGGCCCAGACUCCUACGGGAGGCAGCAGUGGGGAAUCUUCCGCAAUGGACGAAAGGCUGACGGAGCAACGCCGCGUGAGUGAUGACGGCCUUCGGGUUGUAAAGCUCGGUUAAUCGGGACGAAAGGCCUUCUUGCGAAUAGUGAGAAGGAUUGACGGUACCGGAAUAGAAAGCCACGGCUAACUACGUG
rnacentral:rRNA from 1 species